CAAGACUUCCGAGCUUUGCAUAAAACAGAAAGGGACAGGCAGUGGGAAUGUUUCCUGUUUGCCACAGAACAGGUUUGGCAGUGGCUGAGGGAGAAGCAGUUCUAUGGAAAGCGGCAACGGACACUUUUCCUCUGUGAAAAAAAUGGACCCUUUCAAAGGACCUUGUCCUCAUCAGAGUGCUCCUGUUGAGACUGAUGAGAGCAUGACAUCCUCCAGUCUGGACUUGGUCUGGCCUCCUUCUUGUAAACAGUGCACACGCCAAGCAGAGACCAGCAACAGGCCACAGAACCAUGACUGUGAGCCAAUCAGGGGAGCAGUCAAAGCCGGACAGAGGAGACUCGCUGAGAGCUGCUACCAGCAAGAAUCCAGAGCAGACUGCAGUGCUGCUCCGGAACCUUGCUUUACACCCCAAAAGCACUCGGGACACAUGACACCCCCCCGCCCUGCAGGUGUCUGGCCUCAUGGCCUCAGAGAUCAGGCACCGCAGUAUGAAUGGGCGCACAGCGUUAACCACAGUAGAGGCUUUGCAGGCCCUUCAAACUGGUCCAAGGGCUGCUCCGUGGAGGAGGCAGAAUGCUUGGAAGUCCCUUUGCCGCUCAUGUCUGCAGCAGAGGGCCACUACCCCUACUUUGUCCCAUCCCAAUUCCCUGCAGCCCAAAGGCCUGCUCUGUGUAAGUGCUCAAUUAUCAAUUGA
rnacentral:lncRNA from 1 species